rnacentral:rRNA from 1 species
GAUGAACGCUAGCGGCAGGCCUAAUACAUGCAAGUCGAGGGGUAACAGGGAAGCUUGCUUCCGCUGACGACCGGCGCACGGGUGCGUAACGCGUAUACAAUCUGCCCUUAACUGGAGGAUAGCCACUGGAAACAGUGAUUAAUACUCCAUAACACUGCACGAUCGCAUGAGAGAGCAGUUAAAGAAUUUCGGUUAAGGAUGAGUAUGCGUGACAUUAGCUAGUUGGUGAGGUAACGGCUCACCAAGGCAACGAUGUCUAGGGGUUCUGAGAGGAUGAUCCCCCACACUGGUACUGAGACACGGACCAGACUCCUACGGGAGGCAGCAGUAGGGAAUAUUGGGCAAUGGAGGCAACUCUGACCCAGCCAUGCCGCGUGCAGGAUGAAGGCGUUCUGCGUUGUAAACUGCUUUUAUAUGGGAAGAAAAAGGCUAUGCGUAGCAAACUGACGGUACCAUAUGAAUAAGCACCGGCUAACUCCG